rnacentral:tRNA from 1 species
GGCUCGGUAGCUCAGUUGGUAGAGCAACGGACUGAAAAUCCGUGUGUCGGCGGGUUGAUUCCGUCCCGAGCCA